UUCGCAAUGCCCGAAAGGGUGACGAAGCGACGCCGCGUGAGUGAGUAAGGCCUUCGGGUUGUAAAACUCUGUCAGGGGUUAAGAAAGGUAGGUCUGUGAAUACCAGGCUUAUUUGACAAAAGCCCCAAAGGAAGCCACGGCUAACUCUGUGCCAGCAGCCGCGGUAAUACAGAGGUGGCAAGCGUUGUUCGGAAUUAUUGGGCGUAAAGAGCACGUAGGUGGGUUUGUAAGUCAGGUGUGAAAGCCUUCUGUUCAAAGGAAGAACUGCAUCUGAAACUACAUUUCUUGAGUAUAGGAGGGGAGAGUAGAACUUCUGGUGGAGCGGUGAAAUGCGUAGAUAUCAGAAGGAACGUCGGCGGCGAAAGCGACUCUCUAGCCUAUUACUGACACUGAGUGUGCGAAAGUUAGGGGAGCAAACGGGAUUAGAUACCCCGGUAGUCCUAACCGUAAACGAUGGGCACUAAGUAGAGGGGUUUU
rnacentral:rRNA from 1 species